CGGACGGGUGAGUAACGCGUGGAAAACCUGCCGUAUACUGGGGGAUAACACUUAGAAAUAGGUGCUAAUACCGCAUAAGCGCACAGCUUCGCAUGAAGCGGUGUGAAAAACUCUGGUGGUAUACGAUGGUUCCGCGUCUGAUUAGCUAGUUGGCGGGGUAAUGGCCUACCAAGGCAACGAUCAGUAGCCGGCCUGAGAGGGUGAACGGCCACAUUGGGACUGAGACACGGCCCAAACUCCUACGGAAGGCAGCAG
rnacentral:rRNA from 1 species